rnacentral:rRNA from 1 species
GAUGAACGCUAGCUACAGGCUUAACACAUGCAAGUCGAGGGGCAGCAUGGUCAUUGGCUUGCCAAUGACUGAUGGCGACCGGCGCACGGGUGAGUAACACGUAUCCAACCUACCUAUUACUCGGAGAUAGCCUUUCGAAAGAAGAUUAAUAUCCGAUGUUAUGUAUUUACCGCAUGGUGAAUAUCUCAAAGAAUUUCGGUAAUAGAUGGGGAUGCGUUCCAUUAGGCAGUUGGUGAGGUAACGGCUCACCAAACCUUCGAUGGAUAGGGGUCUGAGAGGAAGGUCCCCCANAUUGGAACUGAGACACGGUCCAAACUCCUACGGAGGCAGCAGUGAGGAAUAUUGGUCAAUGGACUAAGUCUGAACCGGCCAAGUAGCGUGAAGAUGACUGCCCUAUGGGUUGUAAACUUCUUUAUACGGGAAUAACAGACAGUAUGUAUACUGUUUUGCAUGUACC